rnacentral:rRNA from 1 species
GACGAACGCUGGCGGCGUGCUUAACACAUGCAAGUCGAACGAAGAGCGAUGGAAGCUUGCUUCUAUCAAUCUUAGUGGCGAACGGGUGAGUAACGCGUAAUCAACCUGCCCUUCAGAGGGGGACAACAGUUGGAAACGACUGCUAAUACCGCAUACGAUCUAAUCUCGGCAUCGAGGAUAGAUGAAAGGUGGCCUCUACAUGUAAGCUAUCACUGAAGGAGGGGAUUGCGUCUGAUUAGCUAGUUGGAGGGGUAACGGCCCACCAAGGCGAUGAUCAGUAGCCGGUCUGAGAGGAUGAACGGCCACAUUGGGACUGAGACACGGCCCAGACUCCUACGGGAGGCAGCAGUGGGGAAUCUUCCGCAAUGGACGAAAGUCUGACGGAGCAACGCCGCGUGAGUGAUGACGGCCUUCGGGUUGUAAAGCUCUGUUAAUCGGGACGAAAGGCCUUCUUGCGAAUAGUUAGAAGGAUGACGNA